GGCCCCACCGCUCCUCGCCAUCUUGAUUUCCGACAGUAUGCUCUCGGCUCACCACAGAGUAUACAGAGUGUGGGGGCGGCUUGAUCAGGUGCGUACACACACUCGCCUGUGGAACUCGCCUCGCCACCGAUUCACAUCUUCCAUCAUCAGUCGCAUCUUCUCCGUCUUCCGGAUCUUUUAGACAACUUCUAAGAAAUGACAUCUGCUCACGUGUAAACUGAGGGUGACGAGUCAUUCCUUGGAAUCUAGCUUCUCGUCCAUACGAAGUUCAUUUAUUUAAACGAGUUCUACCGGUAGUAGAAUGAACAAUCAGAUUCCGUAGAAAAGUAUACUGCUUGGUAAAGCUCUUGAAAGGACGUGAUUAAGUUUUUAGGGACUUAAGAUGUUCCACAAGAAGAAAGGAUUUACUUUUCAACUUCAGAUGUGAAGGGGAAUAAGGAAUCUUGUCGUUUCUUUAAGUUUAGAAGCAGAUUCGAAAUUUUCGAUUUGUACAGCAUCUUUGGAAAAAGUAACCGCAGCAUCAGAGAGAAGAGAGAGAUGCGUUGAUGUAUUGUUCUCCAUCCGCGAGGCUCAAGGUUUUCAGCUCGGUGAAUACACGGUAACCAUGAGCCAGGAACCUGUUCUCCCCGUGUGAGAGAAGGUUCACUUUGGCUCUUUAAAGGCUCUUCACGCGCGCCUUCUUUGCUUCUUCGGUUUUUGACUUCACAAGUAACCACCAGCGCAGCCAGCAUUUCCUACGAGUUCUCGGUUAACAUUAUUCCAACAAUACCGACUUCGCCAAGAUUAUGUAUGUAAAUGUAAAUGUAAAUAUGUUAGGUACGAUUUUAAUAAAAAAUUAUGUAAAACAUA